GAAGGAAUUCAAUCAUGUUAAAGUGGAUUAAGAAAGCUGCAAUCCAACACAAUCCAUUGUUUUCUUCAUGAGAGCCUAAAGUUAUCAUCUUUAGGAUUCCAUGACUAAAUAAACCAUAUGAUGACUAUUUUUGGAUGUUAUCUCUUUUUGACAAUGUUCCAUCUGUAUAUAUCUUACAAUAAGCUUGUUACUACAGAUGUGUUACAUUGAUGAUUUUGGACUUGUUUCUUUUAAUGACUCAAAGGCAAAUGUAGCCUAAAUAUUAUGAUGCAUUAAUUGUUUUUGCAACUUCAUUUAUUUUAGAAAGUGCAUAAAAUGGAAGUCAUUAGUACAAUGUAAAUUUCUUUUUUUUUUAUUUUUAAAUAAAAUAAUUAAUAAAUAU